AGUGGUGUAAUGUGUUUCGCGCUUUUCUCUCGAUCUGAGGGGGGGAUGUGGGGGGGGGCAAGGGGGGUGUUUUUUUAGAGCUGUGUGUGAUAAGCAGGGAAAGAACAGAACAUGGGAAUGCAAGUGUCAAGGGUUCACAGGGAAGCCCUCAUCACAGUUGCAGUCAGUUCCCAAACCACUUUACUGCAUUCCAGCCCAUCCUGGAGUUUUCUGUUUGCUCCAGACAAACCAAAACAGUUAAUCUUGCAGUCACAGCCUUAAAGAGGUCCAUGAGGUGGUGAAGGUCAUACAAUAUCAAAUUCAGAUACAUACUGAGAGUCCUCCAUGAGUGUUAUUCUGCCAUGCCAAAGCAUGGUUCAGAAGUGAAACCAGCAAAGCAAACACUCUGUAAGGUGCUGUAAGGGUGUGCCAGGCUCACUCACAGUCUCCACAGCACUGUGACACAUCUGGGCUGAGCACAGCCCCCUCCCUCUCUUACUGACACAGAGAUGGGUCAGGGGUUUGCAGUGCAUUCAGAGAGGUCACAGCACAGUGUGGUGACAGCAUCAAUGUGGGGUCAGAGAAUAGGAAGGAUGACUGAUGCAAGCAAGGGUGGCAGGGUGGGGAAUGAGAAAACAGAGCCUGGAAAGCUCUAAGAAGGCAGCCUUUUUUUUUCUGAUCAUCUACAGCACAGAGCAUAUUUUCAGACUAUUUGGAGUGGUCCAGUCAGGUAAGAUGUUCUCAUUGAAAGCUAUAUUGCUUGGAAAUGAGAAAGUCUGUGUUUGAAGAAAGACACAUUUUGUUUUUAUCUUGAUGUCCUAUUGUUUGUCAGACACUGACAAUGCUCAGUGCCAUGUGCCCAGCAUCCAUGCCUGGAAGGAAGGUGCACUCUGGUGAACAGUGGCACAGGGCUGUCAUCCUGGCUGCAGAGAAACAAAAGCUCCAGGAGGCACUGCUGUCAGGAGCAGAGGGGACAUGGAGCCUUCAGCUGUCACCCUCCAAGUGAAGCUUCCUAUUCACUCACCUCCUGCCAUCCAUCGGGGCUCCAGAUGUUCCCCCCUCCCUCUACUUGUCACUCAUGAGCCCCCAGGGAUGUUAAUGCCACACCCUCUCCCCUGCAGCAUGAACAAUAAAGCUCUGUUCUGAACUUGAUUUAGUAGGAAG
rnacentral:lncRNA from 1 species